GCUCUCUCCUGGCGCCUCCCUCCUCGCUGAACGCCAACAGUGCUCUUCCUCAGAUGCUCGAUUUGACUGGUGUGAGGUACAAAACAGUCACGAAAGUGAAAUCAUGAGACUAUUACCGAUGUAAAUGGCAGAUUCACCUCAAGAAGGAGAUACUUAAGAAGGUCUCAGAGACAGAUUAUGCCACUUCUGGAUCUACUGAAGUCUGAGUCACACCUGAGAAACACAGAUGCAGGAGAAAUCUCCUAAUAUAUUCAGAAUUGAUGUGUAAUCCCCCAUAAAAUACAUCGUUUCCAUUGUAAAAAUCAGUGAUGCAAACCCACUUCACGCGCAGCACCCACCUGCACCGUACCACACAACGCUGUGACAACACUAACACGAAGCUGAUGCUGAUUGCUCAACAGUGAGGGAUCCCUGCCCAGGAGCAGCCAGCACCGUGGAGCUGAUAUCAAGACUGAUUUACAUGAUGGACAAAUUGUGAAAAUCCCAUUGAAGGAUGAACAGAUAAAGACAAUGUAUGUACCUAUCUACAAUGAAAUAUUAUUCAUAAAGGAAGUCUCAUUUUCAGCAACCUGGAGAACACCAUGCUAAGUGAAAUAAGCCAGGCACAGAAAGACCAGGCCUGCAUGAGCUCGUCCUGAUGUGAAACCUAAGGGAGUCCAACUCUCAAGUACCGAGACUAGACUGCGGUUAGCAGGAGCUCGGGGAGAGGAAUGCGAGGAGAUGGUGCUGAAGCAGCACAGACCCUGAGCUAUGCAAAGUGAGUGAGUUCUAGAGACCGCUGCACAAGGGUGCCUGUCGUAAGAUGGGGAGUGCGCGCUCAACCAUGGCUUAAGAGGGUCGAUUUCAUGUCACGUGCUUCUUACAACAGUUUCUAAAAGGAUGAAUUCAUUCUUCUAGAAUCACAAUUCUAAAUAAAAAUAACUCCAGAAAAAAA
rnacentral:lncRNA from 1 species